GGUCGGUUAGCUCAGUUGGUUAGAGCGUCGUACUAAUACAAUGACAGUUGUAUCAAGUAAUGCGAAGGUCAUGAGUUCGACCCUCAUACUGACCA
rnacentral:tRNA from 1 species